UACGGAGGGUGCAAGCGUUAUCCGGAUUCACUGGGUUUAAAGGGUGCGUAGGAGGACUGGUAAGUCAGUGGUGAAAUCCCCGAGCUUAACUUGGGAACUGCCGUUGAUACUAUCAGUCUUGAAUACCGUGGAGGUGAGCGGAAUAUGUCAUGUAGCGGUGAAAUGCUUAGAUAUGACAUAGAACACCAAUUGCGAAGGCAGCUCGCUACACGAAUAUUGACUCUGAGGCGCGAAAGCGUGGGGAUCAAACAGG
rnacentral:rRNA from 1 species